rnacentral:rRNA from 1 species
AUUGAACGCUGGCGGUAUGCUUUACACAUGCAAGUCGAACGGUAGAGGGGCAACCCUUGAGAGUGGCGAACGGGUGAGUAAUACAUCGGAACGUGCCCAGUCGUGGGGGAUAACGUAGCGAAAGCUACGCUAAUACCGCAUACGACCUGCGGGUGAAAGCGGGGGACCUGCAAGGGCCUCGCGCGAUUGGAGCGGCAAAUGGCAGAUUAGUUUUCUUGUUAGGUAUAGGCUCAUUAAGCCGACGAUCUGUAGCUGGUCUGAGAGGACGACCAGCCACACUGGGACUGAGACACGGCCCAGACUCCUACGGGAGGCAGCAGUGGGGAAUUUUGGACAAUGGGCGCAAGCCUGAUCCAGCCAUACCGCGUGCAGGAAGAAGGCCUUCGGGUUGUAAACUGCUUUUGUCAGGGAAGAAAUCUUCUGAACUAAUACCCUGGGAGGAUGACGGUACCUGAAGAAUAAGCACCGGCUAACUACGUGCCAGCAGCCGCGGUAACAC